UUUCAUGUUCUCCUCUCAUAAUAUACUCAAGAACUUUUGAAGCUAUCCUCUGAAUUUCAUGACAUGCAUUCUCCCUUCAAGAACAACUGCUAAAACAUUUGUGAAGCGAGAGCUCCACCAGAAUCUGCCGUCUAAAGAUAAUCUCUUCUGCCUUAACCUGGCAGCCACCACUCCCCAUCAUCACCUCAUCAUCACUGGUGACUAGGGAGAGAGCCCCCUGGACGCAACAGACGCAGACGUGUCUGAGCAUUUCUGCAAAUGGAGGAAUCCGAGCUAGGAGGAAUCGGUUUGAGACGGGGGAGUCUUUAGGCGAAGUAAGAGAAGUGAAGCUCACCGUUUCUUCUGAUAAAAAUACCCUGGGCAGCGAGUGAGAAGGGGAACAGCCAGCAAGUGCGGUCCCCCUUGCCCGGUGAGGUCCCCUCUUCCUCCUAUUCCUGACUCUCCUGCCUCCGAGGGGGCACCUGGAGCCACAGGGGCAGAGCCUUUAACAGGAACGCAAGAGAGCUGCCUGGCUCAGAGGUCAGCAGGACUCUGGGAAAUCUGAAAGACAUAAAACAAGGGUAGACCUUUUUGCCCCCGAUGGGAGAUGAAGCCAGAACAGAUUUGAGAAAUCCCAGUAGGGAGUGAAACCUUGGCACGGCUGGCGCUCCGGCACACCAGCAGCGUCCGGGACGUUUCCGGCCACAGGGUGCAGCUGAGUGACCCCAGCUGGCCUCGGCGUGUCAGAGGCUGCAUCCUCUGAACAUACAUUCAUCAGCAGCCUACACCCACACCCACAGGCAGCCCCCGACGGCCUGUGCAUCCUCGGCCGCUGGGGGAAUGAGGAAAGCACGCGGCGGCCUGGUGGCCGAGAGAACGGACUGUGAGCUCUUCUGGGAAUUUCGGGGAACACCCAGGAGUCGUUGGGAGACAUCUGGAGGGUCCACAGAGGCAGGAAGAAAAGGAACAUGUCAGUGGAGAAGAGGCCAAGGGAGACCUCUGUGUAGGAGAUCCCAGGGAAGGAUGGGCACCGGGGUGGAUUGUGAAGUUGUGUCCACAGGGACACGCUUUCUGACAAUGAAAGAAGAAAAUGUCAAUAGUACUGAGGAGAGAAGAACCAAGAUACUUUCAACAGGAAAAUGUCAAGCUGGUGAUUCUUAAGACAAGUACACACACACUUAAAACUGUAACCAGAACAUCAGACCGUUUGUAUGAAGGAUGGGGAAGAAUAGCGUGUGACUUCUAAGCUGAUUCAACUCUGUCCGACUCUUUGAGACCCUAUGGACUGUAGCCUGCCAGGCUCUGUCCAUGAGAUUCUCCAGGCNNNNNNNNNNNNNNNNNNNNNNNNNNNNNNNNNNNNNNNNNNNNNNNNNNNNNNNNNNNNNNNNNNNNNNNNNNNNNNNNNNNNNNNNNNNNNNNNNNNGCCUGCCAGGCUCUGUCCAUGAGAUUCUCCAGGCAAGAAUACUGGAGUGGCAUUGCCAUGCCCUCCUCCAGGGGAUCUUCCCAGCCCAGGGAUUGAACACAUGUCUCCUGCGUUGGCAGGAGGGUUCUUAACCACUAAGCACCACCUGGGAAGCCUGGGAAGUAUAGUACAUAGUCCUAAAGGCCUGGUUUGAGCUACUCAAACAGACACAGAGAAUUCAAAAGAGCAAAUAGCUCACAUUAAAACAGUGUGUUCACCUCCUGCAGAACCCACAGGGCAGUGGAAACUUGGAGUGGAUCCCGUUUAAUUCAUUUCCUUAUGUAUUAGCUAUCUAUUGUCACAUAAUAAAUUACUCCAAUGGAUAAUGAUUUAAAACAACACAGAUAUAUUACUAACAGUUUCUUUGGGUCAAAUAUUCAGCAGAAGCUCAACCAGUGGUUCUAGCUCAGGGUCUCAUGAGGUUGCAGGCAAGAUAUUAGCCCAGGCUGUAGUUAUCUGAAGGCUUGACUGAGGCUAGAAGAUCUGCCUCCAAGAUUUCUCACUCCAAAGAACUCACCUAUGGACCUCUCCAAUAGAGCUGCUUGAGAGUUCUCGUAAUGGGCAGCUGGAUUCUCCCAGACUGAGUGGUCCAAGGGAGCAGAGCAGAAGUCACAAAUGAACAACCUUGACUACAAAGACACACUCAAUCAGUUCUACAAUACCAUAUUGGUUAUAUAAGUCACUUUUCCAAAGUGGGAGGAAACCGCACAAGGACUUGAAUACCAAGGGGCUAGAAUCAUUGAGGACUGUCUGGAGAGAUGGCUCCAUGCUCAGCUCCACCCGAGAUGUAAGCUGACAGGCAUCUCAGCCAAGGGUCCUUUUCUCUCUCCCUCCUCCCACAGCCUCUGAUUCUCUUUAUGCCCCUUUUCUCCUCAUGCUCAUCUGCUUCAACCAGACCCACAGAGUCUGUCACUGGAUAUCUCCUUAUUCAGAUCCUUAAUGUUUCAUUGCCACAUCAUUCCAGAGCUUUCCAUCGCUGAGAGCAGAAGAGAAGGGAAAACAAUUUUUCACUGAGAUCAGUCUUUCAGAAUCUCAGUACAAAGCCAUUAUCAACUUCAUAUGGCCAAGAUACUACUUCCAGUGUAUCUCCUACACUUGAUAAUGCUAAAGAACAUCUGUCUCCUCCUCGAAUCAAAUUUCAAAAGACACCCUGUUUUCUUGGCCUCAAUAUGAGUCAGGCUCCAGGUUGGAUGGGGGAGGGGUUGUGGAAUGAGGAAGGGGGAAAAGGAAACAAAAACCAUAUAACUAUGCAACAGUUGCAAUACAAAAAUUACUAGUAAAUUAUUCCUUUGACUACAUCUUACCUGAUAAAAUAUAUACUCUCCAAAUGCAAACAGUGUCUACUUCUUUGCCACUUUAAUCCUAGUACCGGCCACAGUGUCUGACACAUAAUAGAUACUCUGUUAAUCAUUUAGUAUAAAAUAGGCAGCCCACCCAGUCUUCUAAGCCUGUUAGACACUCUGCCAGCCCCAGUUCCCCUGACUUGCACUUUCUCUUAAGGCUUGUCUGCAUCCUGCCAUAUCUUCAAAACUCACCCCUUCUAAAAUAAAUCCUCCUUCUUGAAUUAUCUGGUGAAAGCUGCCUGGUUUUUGUUGUGGUUAAGUGGUCUCCUAGAGAAGAAAUGUGACCAUCCACAGCCAGCCUCACCCUUUUCCCUCCCUCAGGGGAGAGCACCCCUGACAAGAUAGCACCGAGACAGGAGAGCUUUGUUUUAUUUCUCUCUGAAUCUUUUGCAGGGAACAUAGCAUUCACCACAAGUAACAAGUCCCUAGGAAAUGUUUUGUGGGAACUGAACCAGACCACUCCUCCCCUCUCCCCACACUCAAGCUGUGAUAACUGGUAGGUCCCCAUCCCAGCAUAAGAAUGAUAAUAUGAAAGGUUCUUCCUAAAAAAAAUUAGAGAGUGAGAGAGAAAGACUGUGCUGUGAACUCUACACUUCCACCAGAUACAAGCCAUGGAAGGUCCCUGAAGGAAGGCAUCCUCCAUAUUUAUAACACAAAAUCAUCGUUGGCUAGGAUCACUUGGUAGUCAAAAAGCAGGGCUGACUUUCUCCUUUUUUUUGUUUUAAACGUGUUGAACAGCCUCUAUUUUCCUUGUGUAGUAGGCAGAGCUAGGUAUAAGGGUUAACUGUUAUGCUCCGAGCCCGUAUCUCCGAACCGACCGAGAGAGCAAGUCC
rnacentral:lncRNA from 1 species